GAGAGGGGCCCGGCCACGGGCCAGGCGGUUGUCAGGCGGGGAGCGGGGCCCGCCGUGUCCCGCGGCGUGGCGGUGAUGGGCGCCGGGUGGCCCCGGGCUUGGGAUGAGCAUCUGCUGCCCUUGGUUCCUUGGGUAAGAGGGGCUUGGGAUGAGCAUCUGGUGCCCUUGGGUUCCUUGGGUAAGAGGGGCUUGGGAUGAGCAUCUGGUGCCCUUGGGUUCCUUGGGUAAGAGGGGCUUGGGAUGAGCAUCUGGUGCCCUUGAGUUCCUUGGGUAAGAGGGGCUUGGGAUGAGCAUCUGGUGCCCUUGGGUAAGAGGGGCUUGGGAUGAGCAUCUGGUGCCCCUUGGGUAAGAGGGGCUUGGGAUGAGCAUCUGGUGCCCUUGGGGAUACGACAAGCUCCUGAUGUGCUGGUGGUACCCCGGGGUGACAGGGCGCAGGGUGAGUUCCCUGUGUUCCCGAAGCUGGAGGAGCUCAGGGUGGGCGCCGGUGUCCCCCAGAGUAAAAGGACUUGGGACGGUGCCUGGUGCCCGGGGGUAGAAGGGCUUGGAGUGGGUGUCCGGUACCUCGGAGGGUAGGGGGGACAUGGAGGGGGCACCCAGUUUCCCAGAGCUAGAGGGGCUCGGUGUGGGUAUGAGGCAGGUGCCUGCUCUGUUUAUUUCAUACUGUCUCUCUUUACCUGUGGCACCUCCCAGCCAAAGACCCUCACCUGAUUUUUUUUCCCAACCCACAUGCUAAAACAACCCUUGAUGAAGUUAUGAAAGCUGGUCAUGCACUGUCAUUGUAAGAUCUUGCUCCACUUGGCUUUCAGCCCCUUCAGAGCUUUGCCUUAAAAGCAGGAACAUCUAUUCCUUGCUGGAAUCUGGAAUUGCAGACCAUUGCAGUGUGUGCCAUGGACCACAGUGGGGAAUUCCCGAGGCUCUCAGGUGCUGGUUCUGCCUCUCCAGGGAGCUGCAGCUGCAGGUGACAAGGUCCCGAAGCUGGGUGGGCUCCCAGAGAAGACAGCAAAGGCUUCUUUGCUGGACAUUUUCAGGCACAUUCCCAGCUUGAAGCAGAGGCAAGAAAAGGGAAAUGAGCUGACAGAAUCCUGGAAUGCUGGCGGCUGGAAGGGACCCUGAGCAGGUGUAACGAGCCCAUGAGGGAGAGAGGCCUCUGCCCAAAUGACGGUGCAAAGGAGACCAUAUGAGGACAACAUACAGAUUUUAUUUAAUGUGGAAUUUAUUUACCAAGAAAGGGGAGGUAGAGCAGUAGAGAAAAAUAAGAAGGGUGUCUCAGAGAGAGAGCAGAAGAUAACUAGUUGGAUAGAUAACUCUGGUUCUCAGAAGGUAACUCUAGUUGGAACUAGAGAACUGUAAGGUCCUUCCUCUCAUUCUGUGGUUGUGUGGAUGUUUAUUUUAAUUUGAUACUAUUAUUUAUUUCUACAUCUGUUUCAUCUUCUUUAUCUUCUUAUUUUUAUUUAUUACUACUACUAUUUAAUUUUGUUUUUAUUCUUUUUCUUACUAUUAUUGUUGUUCUCCUUAUUACUACUACUGUUUCUCCUUCUCAUAAUUCUUGUUCAAUUUAUUAUUCUUAUUUCUUUUAUUGUUCUUAUUUACUACUAUUAGUUCUGUAUCAUCUUCUUAUUCUUAAUCUUAUUAAUUUGUUUUGGUUUGGGUUUUUUUGAUAUUUUUUUAAUGUGAGUGGAGAGGUUGUGGUCUUUUUUUCUUACUACUGUUGUACUUGUACUCUUGUAUUAUUUCUUAAAUUCAACCUUCACUGUUUUGCAAGAAUCAUUUGUGUCGCAGUCCUGCAGUGACAUCCCUGGAGAAAAAACCUCCUGUGGGCACAAUCCCAAAGGACCAGCACAUAAUCCUUUCAGGAUGAUAGAAAAUGGCCUUCCAUUCCACCAGGAGAGCGUCAGAUUAAAUAUUAGAACAAGUUUUCCCUGACGCAGUGCUCAGGUAUCGGAAGACCUUGCCCAGGGAGGUGGUGGAGUCGCCGUCUCUGGAAGUGUUGAAGAGUUUUCCAGAUGUGGCACCUGGGGACGUGUUUUUGGGGCUGUGAUGGCGAUGCUGGGGUGCUGGUGGGACUGCACGACCGUCAAGGUCUCUUCCCACCUUGAUGAUUCUCUGGGAUUCACCUGAGCCACCCGGCACCAACAGUCCCCCACAGGUGCUGCUUUGGUGCUGGCCUCUGAGGGACAGGCACUGGGAUUCAUCUUCUGCAAAAACUCCCAGUCUUUGCUCCCCGUCUUCUUCUUCACUCAGCUCAAAGAAGCUCAGUUUGUCCCAAGCCCAGCAAUGGGCUUGACCCCAUUGCUGUGGACGCUCACAUGUUCCCAAUUGUCCUGAGCAAGCUCUUUGUCACCAUCAUUGUCUCAGCAGGACUGCACUGAGGGUCUGCUGCCAUUGCCUUGGGACAUCUCUUGGCCAGCAGAGUCCUCCCAGCCAGAUGGUUCUGGGGAGCUUCCGACUGCUCCUUGGGACAGCCCUUGCUCCAUGCAUUCUUCCCCAUGGAAAAUUCUUGGUAGCUAAGGGCUUCUCCCUGGGACAGCUCCUGCUCUCCUCAUCCCAGUUGGUGAGUUAUGGAUAUUCUCAGUUCAGUCAGAGAGAAAAGGAGAGUUUUCUACCAGGCUGGGCUUGGGAAAGAGUUUGAAAGGAAUGUAAAUAAUUCACUAUCUCUCUUGUUGUUCAUAUUGUUUAUAGAUAUGUUCUGCCACCAUGAGUCAUUCAGACACUGCGCUCCAACGGUGUGACAUGAUUUUACUUUAAGACCAAUGAAAUUGGUCUGCAAGAUGUGCUCUAUAAAAAGAGUGAUGUACUUGAAAUAAAGGAUUUGAGUUCAGUCCUUCUAGCCUUCUGACUUGGAGUCUUCAUUAUCCCUGUCCUGCCUCAACAGCGACAGAGAGUUCUCCACAGCUACUGACAUCUCCUUGGGAGAGCUCUCACUCAAGAGAUUCUUCCCAGUCAGAGAUCUCUUGGCAGCUCCUAACAUCUCCCAGUUGGGAAGGCUCACGAUCCACGUCAGAGUCCCGCUCUUCUGCCUCAGUCUCUAACAUGCCCAUUGUCCCAACCAAGUGCUCACUGAGGGCCUGGUCUGACCAGCUGGGCAAGGAGCUGGGGAUGAGCCGUGUCCCUCAGGGCUCUGCCUUGGCCCCGGGGCUCUUGCAUGGCUUCCCCCAUGGCACAAACAGCGGAUCCAGCUCACCCUCAGCACGUUUGAAGGGGAUGGGAAGCUGAGCAGGGCAGGGGCACCAUGGAAGGAGGGGACAAGGGACAAACUUGGGGACAGGGACCUGGACAAGCUUUACAAGUGGGACCACGAGAACCUCAUGAGGUUCAACAAAGCCAGCAAGGUGCUGCAUCUGGCCCACGUCAAUCCCCAAGUCCUGGCUUCAUCAAGGUCAGAAGAGACCUUCAAAUUCCUUCAGAUUAGUGCUGCCUCCCUGGCUGCUCCCAGCACUGGAAAAUGUUGGAUCUGAGAUUACCCCAAGUCCCAUGUUACAGAAAUAAUCAUCACAGCUUAUAGUUAUUCAUAGUUAAUUAAUUUAAUCAUAGUGAUUUAAUAAAUUUAAUUUUUAAAGCUGUGAACACAACAAUUUGCAAAAAAAAAAAAAAGUAUGCUCAGUCACUGCAAUUAAAAUAAAUACAAAAACAAAUACAUUGCAAAGCGAUAAAGUCAAUACAAACUUUGCCCACUGAUUGUCUGCCUCUGUGCUCCAGAGUCUGUUUUCUACACGUGAAAGAAAGAGAAGGUUCAUAAGAGGCCAUUCAUGCAGUCUAACAUGAGGUUGGAAACAAGUGCUUUGUCAGGAGAGUGUAACAGUGUGAAAUAUACUUAGUUUGUCAAAACUACAUUUUGGCCAGCAGAGCUUUCUGCAGCAUUCCAGGACUGUGUGUGAUGCCACCUUUACCUGCGAGGUGGCUAUAACCAUGUCAUUAUUGAGAUUUUAUAGCUUCAGCCUGUGGUGGAACCACUGCAUACUCCUCACUGAUAGAAGUAGACCUGGAAAUCUUCAUUCCUGAAAUGUGAUCCCUCAUGGAAGAGGGGACCACUUCCCCUUUCACAUGCAGCUUUUCAGCCUUUCUCCCAGAGACAGAUAACAGCUCUGUCCUUCUUCCUACUGACUGUGGCAGGUUUGCUCAGGAGUUGUGGGCCAGGAGAGGCACAAAGCCAAGCACUGGUUCCCCAUGUUGUCCUGCCUCAUGUGGACUCUCCAAUCUGUUCUCUGUAGGCCCUUUCUAGGUGAGGCUCAACACGUGUGACACGUCCAAUCCUGUCUGGGUCAGCACUUGUGAGUCUUUGUGACAGCUGUCUGAGGAGGAGGUGAUGGGUGUGCAAAGAUGUGAAGCAAAGGCCAGGUGGGACACCCAAAAGCCUCUUUGGAAGGUGGUCAGCAGCCUGGCACCAGGGAUGUGCCACCAAGCUGGCUUCCCUAAGCUGGAGCUGCCAUGGGGAUGAGGAGGCUGGGACUCAUCUGGCUCUUGAUCUGGAAUAACUCUCCAAACUUGUGUCUUCCAGAGAAUGUCCUCUUCCUAAUGAAGCAGUCUUGCUCCAUAUAAAAAAGAGAGCGCCAGGAUCCCCAGAGGUGCUGAUGCUGGGAGUUCCCAGGGGUGUGCGCUUCUCCUGGGCAGUGCCAACACCCGUGUGCCCCUGAGGACACUCGGACCAGCUGGCUUUGGGAAUGUGGGACAUCAGAAAGGACUUGCCAUCUGCCUGCAGAGCCUGCAAACCCCAGCAUGGUCUCCUCCUUCCAGCAGAAGCAUCCCUGGAUGUCAGUAAUCCCAGCAGGUUUUUAAUACCACUGGACAUCACUGGAGAGAUUCACUGGCUGGGUGAGAGCCUAAGCCCUCAACUAUCAGCUCAAGCUGCUGACUACAACCAGGGCACCACGACACUGAAGAGCUGAAUCCAUCCCAGAUCCUAGAUUGACAAGACAUUAAUGAAUUGUUAAGGGUUUAUCAAAACUGCAGAUGCAAUUCAAAGCAAAUUCUUUGUCAGCAGAAACUGACUUUCAAUGUACUCUUUCAACACAUGCAAAAAGGAAGGGAAAUAAAAAUUGUGUAUGUUGCUUCAUUGCAGCCAACACCUUGAAAAUUUUUAUUGCCAGAGUAUUUCAGGACUGGAAACAGAAAUAUUAUCCCUGUUGGUCUAAUAGUAAGGAUGCUCCUGUGUUUGUAUAUUGAAGAAUAGAUGGAAAUAUCCUAUGAAUGAAAAAUAAAACAUUGCUGGCUUUGCACACCAA